GGCCCAUGGGUGGAGUUCUCCCUGCCAUCUUCGCCACCAUCCCACCGUGCAUGAAGACAGUCCGACCUGUCAUGAUUUGGGCGUCAGGCAGGCCCACCAUGCCACCGUUGUACAGUGGCAAUUUUAAAAGGUAUUGAAAACAGAUUUAGCUCUCCCACCCAGCCCUUUACUUGUAAAGGGGAAUGCUUGCCAGGGCAGCAAAUCUUUGGUUGUCUAUGGGUGGCAAAAAACGUAAUCUGCACCUGCAUGGAAGACGGUUAGGAUUCCAUUGUGGCCUGUGGUCCUGUCUUUGCCACCGGCACCCUUGAACAUUAUGUUUAGGAAAGCCAGGGCCAUGUAUAUAACAUUGAAGAGUCUGUCCUACUCUUCAGUAGGCCUAAAAACUCAUCAGAUGGCUGUUUUUGCUGUGGGCCAGGUUCCAGAUCCAGUAGCAACCUUCUCAGUGAACCAGUAUGAUGAACAAGAAUGUGAUUGUGGGCUCUGUAACACCACUCCCACUCCAGCUGUGGAAACUGGGGAGCCUCUACCCACCCAAAACAGAAGCAUGAGUUCAGAUUCUGAAAUGGAAGCGCCUAUGGAGUGAAAGCUGCAUAUGGAAAAAUGGGUGAAGAGGCAGCCUCAUUUUUAUUGGCGUGAUGACUACUGUUGCCAAUAUUCAGAUGGGGACUUCUGACAAUGAUGAGUGUCGCUGCCAUUCUUAUUUGUCAAACAGGCCCCCAGGGUUUUCUCCAGGGUGAGAAAAAGUGCUGCAGGUCCAGUGAAGAUUGGUCAUCGUGUGAUUGCCUGAUGCCAGUUUCAGGCAGCCCAAUAUCCUCCUCCUGCAGGGCUGUAUGCUUUACUUCAUCUGAAAGUGGGGAGGAGAAGGAAGCCGUGGAUGGCAGUGUGUUUACAAAAACUGAAGAGCAAACCCCAAUUGAUGAGCCCAACAAGCUGGCUCACUGUCUGAAGAUGUUUUGUGGUGUGAAUAAAUAUGAGAAACAGUAUGAACAGCUGCCUGGGCUGCUUCAUGGCAAGGAGCAAUGUGGUGUCAUGAAGCAACUCUCUGCCAAGGGCCUUCCUGACUGCAGUACAGACCAAACUGUGUUGAAGAGGCUCGGUUCCCCUUUCCUGUCCUAAUAGUUUCCAUAGCAACAAGCAGGUAUUAGUAAUAAAACGCAAGGGCUCUGGCUCUGGAGAACUGUGUGUGACUAA